AGUGAACGCUGGCGGUAGGCCUAACACAUGCAAGUCGAACGGCAGCACAGUAAGAGCUUGCUCUUACGGGUGGCGAGUGGCGGACGGGUGAGGAAUACAUCGGAAUCUACUUUUUCGUGGGGGAUAACGUAGGGAAACUUACGCUAAUACCGCAUACGACCUACGGGUGAAAGCAGGGGAUCUUCGGACCUUGCGCGAUUGAAUUAGCCGAUGUCGGAUUAGCUAGUUGGCGGGGUAAAGGCCCACCAAGGCGGCGAUCCGUAGCUGGUCUGAGAGGAUGAUCAGCCACACUGGAACUGAGACACGGUCCAGACUCCUACGGGAGGCAGCAGUGGGGAAUAUUGGACAAUGGGCGAAAGCCUGAUCCAGCCAUACCGCGUGGGUGAAGAAGGCCUUCGGGUUGUAAAGCCCUUUUGUUGGGAAAGAAAAGCAGCAGGUUAAUACCCCGCUGUUCUGACGGUACCCAAAGAAUAAGCACCGGCUAACUUCGUG
rnacentral:rRNA from 1 species